AUGCUUGUUUGUUAGCAAUCUUAAAGUUACAUAAUAUUCUUCUUAAGAAACCAACUCCAAUACAAGAGGAUUGCGACGAUGAAAGGUGGAAAUAUUUCAAGGUGCCCUUGAUGGUACAAUGAUUCUAGUUAAUGUUCCUUGUGAAGAUCGAUCCAAAUAUCGCACUAGAAAAGGUACCCUUGCUAUGAAUGUACUAGGAGUAUGCUCACCUGAAAUGGAAUUUAUAUAUGUCUUACCUGGUUGGGAGGGAUCGGCACAUGAUGGUUGGAUUCUUCGAGAUGCUAUUUCUAGGCCUAAUGGGUUGAAAGUUCCAAAAGGUAAUUUGAUUGACGUAGUAGACUUUAUUUGAAAUUGACUUAGUAAGAGAGUAAUUUUUUUUAAAAAAAAAUUUUCAAGGUUGUUAUUAUCUAUGUGACGGAGGAUAUACUAAUGGAGAGGGAUUCCUUGCAACAUACAGAGGCAUCUUAUCAUCUUAGAGAAUGGAAUAAUGGCCCCCGUCAACCUCAAACCGCCGAAGAAUAUUUCAACUUAAGGCAUGCAAAAGCUAGAUAUGUGAUUGAGAGAUGCUUUGGGUUACUCAAGGGAAGAUGGGGAAUUCUUAGAAGUCCUUCUUGGUUUAGUUUACAAACACAUGGUCGAAUUGUGCUUGGUUGUGCCUUAUUACAUAACUUGGUAAAAAGAUACAUGCUUGAAGAAUUUGAUGAUGAUGACUUGUUUGAGGAAAGUGAUAGUGAUGAUGAUGAUGAUGGUGAUGGUGAUGCUAGUGAUGAAGAUGAUGUGGAGUACAUAACCUCCAUUGCUGUAACCAAUCCAUGGACUAAUUUUCAAAAUACAAUGGCCCAAAAUAUGUUCAAUGAUUGGAGGGCUAGACCCACAGAGUUACUUUGUGAUAUUAUUCUUGUUUGGUAAACAACAUUGUAUUUGUUAUUUGAACUUGAGACUUGUACCUUUGUUUCAAUUUCGUGUUAUUUUUUUAUUUUUAUUGUUGUAUCAAGUUAUGGAUGUUGUGUUGGACUUAUAAUAAUUUCCUUUAUGUACUUGUAUUGAAUAUUUUUUUUGUUAAUUUCAUUUUUAUAUAUAUGCAAUGUUAUUUUGACAUGUUAAUAUGGUUCAAAUUUUUUAGUAGGAUGGAUAAAAGUAGUGCAAGUGGAGGUGGAAGGGGAAAAAAACAAACGAUUUUGGACCGCUCAAGAAGAUAAAGUUCUUGUAGAAGCAUUGUCAGAGCUAGCUGUUGAUCCUCAUUGGAAGUGUGAAAAUGGGUUCAGAAUCGGCUACAUGGUUCGCUUAGAGGAGAUCAUAGGUAAGGCUCUUCCUGGUUGUGGGUUGAAGGCUAUACCACACAUCGAUUCUCGACUAAAGACACUUGGAGCAAAGUUUAGGGCUAUUUCUACUAUGUUAAAUACUAGUGGAUUCGUUUGGGAUGAUUCCAAAAAAUGGUUUAUGUGGACCGGGCUGUUUAUGAUGAGUUUUGCAAGAAACAUCCAAGCUGCAAAAACUUGUAUGGAGUUUCAUUUCCCUACUUCCAUGAACUCAUGAAUGUUUAUGGCAAGGAUUAUGCAACUGGAAAACCAGCUGAAGAUUUUGUUGAAGCAAUCAACAAUUUGCAAACUAUUGCCC